rnacentral:rRNA from 1 species
UACGUAGGUGGCAAGCGUUGUCCGGAUUUAUUGGGCGUAAAGAGCGUGUAGGCGGCCAGAUAGGUCCGUUGUGAAAACUGGAGGCUUAACCUCCAGCUGUCGAUGGAAACCAUCUGGCUAGAGUCCGGAAGAGGAGAGUGGAAUUCCUGGUGUAGCGGUGAAAUGCGCAGAUAUCAGGAAGAACACCCGUGGCGAAGGCGGCUCUCUGGGACGGUACUGACGCUGAGACGCGAAAGCGUGGGGAGCGAACAGG